rnacentral:rRNA from 1 species
AUGAACGCUAGCGGCAGGCUUAAUACAUGCAAGUCGAACGGCAGCACUUCGGGUGGCGAGUGGCGCACGGGUGAGUAACGCGUACAAAAUCUACCUCUAACUGGGGGAAAGUCGCUGGAAACGGCGAAUAAUCCCGCAUAAGACCCCACUGCCGCAUGGCAGAGUGGUAAAAGACUUCGGUUGGUAAGAGAUGAUUGUGCGUUCCAUUAGCUAGUUGGUAAGGUAACGGCUUACCAAGGCUACGAUGGUUAGGGGGCGUGAGAGCGUGAUCCCCCACACGGGUACUGAGACACGGACCCGACUCCUACGGGAGGCAGCAGUAAGGAAUAUUGGUCAAUGGAGGCAACUCUGAACCAGCCAUGCCGCGUGUGUGACGAAGGCCCUUUGGGUUGUAAAGCACUUUUGUCUGGGAAGAAUGGCAGAGAUUCAUCUUUGUAGGGACGGUACCAGAAGAAUAAGCACCGGCUAACUCCGU